rnacentral:lncRNA from 1 species
CUAAGAGAAUCAUCUUUUGACAUGUAAUUAAGACUUCAUAAGAUUUCUCUUUGUAGGUCAAUUCAGUGAACUCAUUUUUCUAAUGAGUACCCACAUCUUUGUAUUAGUGUCUUCCACACAAGUGAUUGUGAGAUCAAUCACCCUCUGCAUCGAGCAUACAUAAGAUAUGCCAGUCUUUCCAAUAAACAUUGAUCCCCGACUC